AACGAACGCUGGCGGCAGGCCUAACACAUGCAAGUCGAACGCUCCGCAAGGGGAGUGGCAGACGGGUGAGUAACACGUGGGAACCUACCUCGAGGUGCGGAACAACCAAGGGAAACUUUGGCUAAUACCGCAUGUGCCCUUAGGGGGAAAGAUUUAUCGCCUUGGGAUGGGCCCGCGUCGGAUUAGCUAGUUGGUGUGGUAAUGGCGCACCAAGGCGACGAUCCGUAGCUGGUCUGAGAGGAUGAUCAGCCACACUGGGACUGAGACACGGCCCAGACUCCUACGGGAGGCAGCAGUGGGGAAUAUUGGACAAUGGGCGCAAGCCUGAUCCAGCCAUGCCGCGUGAGGGAUGACGGCCUUCGGGUUGUAAACCUCUUUCAGUACCGACGAAGCGCAAGUGACGGUAGGUACAGAAGAAGCACCGGCCAACUACGUGCCAGCCGCCGCCGUAAGAC
rnacentral:rRNA from 1 species